rnacentral:tRNA from 1 species
AAGAGUGUAGUUUAAUGGUAAAAUUAGAAGCUUCAACCUUCCAGUUCUGGGUUCGAUUCCUAGUACUCUUG